rnacentral:rRNA from 1 species
UACGUAGGGUGCAAGCGUUGUCCGGAAUUAUUGGGCGUAAAGAGCUCGUAGGCGGUCUGUUACGUCGGCUGUGAAAACCUGGGGCUCAACCCCGGGCCUGCAGCCGAUACGGGCAGACUAGAAUUCGGUAGGGGAGACUGGAAUUCUUGGUGUAGCGGUGAAAUGCGUAGAUAUCAAGAGGAACACCUGCGGCGAAGGCGGGUUGCUGGGCCGACACUGACGCUGAUGCGCGAAAGCCAGGGGAGCGAACGGG